rnacentral:rRNA from 1 species
UACGGAGGGGGCUAGCGUUGUUCGGAAUUACUGGGCGUAAAGCGUACGUAGGCGGGUCUGUAAGUAGGGGGUGAAAUCCCAGGGCUCAACCCUGGAACUGCCUUCUAGACUGCAGGCCUCGAGGUCAGGAGAGGCGAGUGGAAUACCGAGUGUAGAGGUGAAAUUCGUAGAUAUUCGGUGGAACACCAGUGGCGAAGGCGACUCGCUGGACUGAUACUGACGCUGAGGUGCGAAAGCGUGGGGAGCAAACAGG